rnacentral:rRNA from 1 species
UACGUAGGGGGCGAGCGUUGUCCGGAAUCAUUGGGCGUAAAGCGCGUGUAGGCGGCUUGGUAAGUCCGGUGUGAAACCUUGGGGCUCAACCCCAAGCCUGCACUGGAUACUGCCUCGCUUGAGUCCGGGAGGGGAGAGCGGAAUUCCUAGUGUAGCGGUGAAAUGCGCAGAUAUUAGGAAGAACACCGGUGGCGAAGGCGGCUCUCUGGAACGGUACUGGACGCUGAGACGCGAAAGCGUGGGGAGCGAACGAGGAUUAUAAAGACCCCCGGUGUCAGACCAA